UACGUAGGGGGCAAGCGUUGUCCGGACUUACUGGGCGUAAAGCGUGUGCAGGCGGGCCGCUAUGUGACGUGUGAAAGCUCUCAGCUUAUCUGGGAGAGGUCGCGGUAGACAGGCAGCCUGGAGGCUCGGAGAGGUCAGUGGAAUUCUCGGUGUAGUGGUGAAAUGCGCAGAUAUCAGGAAGAACACCCGUGGCUAAGGCGGCUCUCUAGUACGGUACUGACGCUGAGACGCGAAAGCGUGGGGAGCAAACAGG
rnacentral:rRNA from 1 species